UACGUAGGGUGCAAGCGUUGUCCGGAUUUAUUGGGCGUAAAGAGCUCGUAGGCGGUCCGUCACGUCGGCUGUGCAAACCCGGGGCUCAACCCCGGGCCUGCAGUCGAUACGGGCGGACUAGAGUUCGGUAGGGGAGACUGGAAUUCCUGGUGUAGCGGUGAAAUGCGCAGAUAUCAGGAAGAACACCAAUGGCGAAAGCAGCUCUCUGGGACGGUACUGACGCUGAGACGCGAAAGCGUGGGGAGCGAACAGG
rnacentral:rRNA from 1 species